GCGGUCGUAGUUUAGAGGUAAAACUCCUUCCUUCCAAGUAGGUGUCCCGAGUUCGAUUCUCGGCGACCGCACCA
rnacentral:tRNA from 1 species